GUGUUUUGUACCUGUGUUUUCUCCAUCACUCAUGUUCUCAGUCUGAAGCCUCUCCUCUCUCCUGUCUGCUGGCUGAUGUUGCCUCUUUCUACUCAUCUGGAGCCUGUUCCUCACGAUUGAAUGAAAUCAAUCGGACCUCUGCGAAUGCUGACAGUUUGAGCUGAAGUUUGGACAACAUUUCCGAUCGACUUUGUCCGUCUUCCAUCGGCUCCGACUGGUCAGACUGUUGCUUUAAAGCUGAAGGGUCCAUGUUUCUGGGUGGGUAAGUAGGAGCUGACUGUGAGGACUCUGGACUCCUGAAGCUCCAAUGGUUGAGCCCAGCCUGAUUCAAACUCCCCGGCGACUGAUUAAGACUGGAAGGAUUUGGCUGAAUAUGGGGUUGGCUUGAUGGGUCAACUGAUGGUCUCUCAGUUACUGAGGUAGCGUGUUGGUUUGGGUUAAUAAAUGUAGCCACCGUAUGGUUGUCCCUGACAAUCUCAUCCAGAAGGUUGAAUGACCCCAGGCCAAUGUUCACGUCACUGCUACGCCUAAAAAAAACAAAAAAAACAAUGAUAAGUUCAAAUUCAGUUAGGCUUCAAAGACUCAACAAUCUUGUAAACUAAGAAACAAUAUUUCUCUGGUUAAUGCAGUAAUGAAUCUAUACAUAAACAAUAGAUUUAGGUAUCUUAUGAAUUACAGGUCAGUACAGUUAUUUGUUGUGGAAAUCAAAUCCAAUAACAGUUCCACAGAUUAUAGAGAGGAUAAAAGCUUUAUCACAGCUCGGCCUUUCUUCAAAUUUACUGCCGAUCGCACCUCUCUUUAUUUGUUGGCAUCCUGGUUUCUUUCAUUUUUUAGUAUUUUCAGCAUUGAUUACAUAUGCAAAAAAAUUUCAUACAGUACCUUUAAAAUUUUUGAUACUAAUCUUUGUACCUUUUAUAAAUAAAUGUACCUCUAAGUUCAUACUUAGAAAACUUCCAAGUAGUUUGGAAGUACACUUCUUUAUGCUCCCUAGAUUCCUAGUGCAUUAUUACCAGUGUAUUCAUGAUCAAUAAUGUAUUUGGAUCAGUUUUAAUGCUUCAUAUUUCUUCCAUCUUUCUUCUGUUUAUGGUGAACUGGGUUGAAAUUAGAUUUAAAGAUCUUUACCAAUACUUUUGCACUACAGGUCACAUUUUGAACAAGUGGUGAGAAUUGGAGAGCAUGUUUUGUAUUAAUUUCAAAUUGCUUUUGGUUUACCAUACUUAUUGACAUUUAACAUUUUAAAUUGUUUAUAUAUGGGUUUAAACACAAAUUGUAAUUAAAAAAAUUCACUUCUAAAAAUUGCAAACAAUCUUUGGGUCUGAUCAUUCUUAAUUAGCCUAAGCAUUUUUUUCUUUACCUACCACAAAAUAUUAUAUGUUUUCUUCUGCUGUAAUUUGGCGUUUCUUUAUUUAUGCCAAACGCAAAUCCUUCUAAAAGGUUAUUACAAACCUAAAGUGUUAACAGAACUAGAACAAAGAUUGAACCUUUAUCUAUUGGAAAGACUUUCAAUAUUUUUAUUGUACUUUGAAAGAGUCAUUUGUAUUGUAACUUAAAAACACUUAUCAAAGGCAUUUACUACACAAUCUGCUUACCAUGCACCAUUGAUUCUAUAAGCGUUUCUUUUCUUUUCACAAUCUGACAUAUUCCUUUUCAUUAACUCCUCCUUUAUAAAAGUGACAUUUGAGAAUUAACUACAUAUUUAUUGUUGAACAAUAAGGACUUUCACAUUGUUCCCAAACAUUAACCCUUCCUUUAAUAGCUGGGUUUAUCUCUGUUUCCUUGAAAGGUUUAUCUGAAAGAAUUAGCACACACCAUUGUCUGAAAGUGUGUUUGCAGACAUCUGAUGACAGGCUCUGUCAGUGACAGGGGCGUUUCUGGCUAAUUCUCAGUGCUAUGACUGGAAAGAUCCCAAAUGUCUUUCAUAACUCUGGCCAGUUUUUUUAAGGAACAAAUAAAAGUUCAUUGUUGCUUCUUUUUUUAAUUGAAGAACUGCUUUCAGCUUGUUUUGACAUUUUUUUGUGUGGUGAUUACCUGUUGUUGAUUACAGCAGUCUCGUCUUCUGCUUGUGCAGGAUGUACAUUGUUGGAAUCACUGCAGGCUGAUGGAGGGAAUGUUGUUUCUGUUUCAUUGCUUGUUUUGUUUCCAUCUAUUCCUGCCAUUAUUAUCUGUGUAAAAGUUGAAAUGUGGCAAAAGAAUUUAAGUUAUAAUUCAAAUACCUUUUCUGUGAUCAUCUAUGAUUGACUAAUAGGAUCAAUAAGAGAUUAUUGCUUACUUGUGUUUCCGGUUGAGGACAUCUUUCUUCUUUUCCUUUUUUUCCAGCGUUGCCAUGUCUGUCCUUAAAUCUCUCUUUGAUCUUCUGCGUCCAUCUCCUUGUUUUAUUCUCAGAUGACGGUCUUCUCCUUGUGUUUGUUGUUAUUUGGCUGCUUGAGAAGACUUGCACGUCUUUAUUUUGUCCCAAGCUGCCGAUCCCUCCGUUUCCAACAUGGAAUCCAGUAUAUCCUCCACCAAUAUCUGUUCCUUUCACAGACCACAGAGGGAUUUGGUUCUGGUUUUGUGUCACAUUUGAAACAAUGUCAGUAUCAGCAGGGAUCUGUCCCGUCAUCAAGGAGCUGCCGAUGCUCUCCUUCUCAGCAUCAGUCCUCUUGAAGAAGGUAAGUUUAACAUCCUUUUGUGGUUUAACUGGGAAAAGUUGCCUCGUACCUGUUGGGGAGAACCCAGACCGUGGAGUCUGUCCCAACUCUUUCUUCUCACCAAAUUGUCCAUCAGUGCUGACUUUCUGAGAAGGGAAAAAAGUUGGACUCCUGUUCCCUUCAACAGAAGGACUCGCUUGCUGUUUUUCAUAGCUUUCAAAGCCAGAGUUACUGUUCACAGCUGGGACUGUAAACUCCUUUGAAGUGUUCCCAUUAAAAUUAAACACAUUUACAGAUCUGCUUUCAAUGUUCUGAAAGCUAGAUGCUCCUCGCUCACCAUUUUGACCCAGAGCAGGAGUUGCAGAUGGGGAUACGGGUGCUUGACAAAACGUCUGGCCCUCUCUUCCAGGUUGGAGCUUCAGUCUCUGCAGCAUAGACUGCAGCAAGGCCUGAGAGUCUGAUUGUUGAGCUGACUGAGACAUCUAGAUUCAAGCUUCUGUGUUAAAUCCUGGUUUCACUGAAACACAUUUGAACAAUGCAGCACAUCCAGCUAAACAAGGAAGGCUUCCACUCACAGCUGUGUUUUAUUGGAGCUUGUUACCUGUGCUGGGAUCAUUUCACUCCUUUCAUCCACCUGUAGUAGAAAACACUCCUGCGAAGGCUGGCUUGCUCAAACAGAGUUUUUCAAUCUCCUUCCAUCAUGCGAACACUUCCUCACCACAAAAGUAGACCAGGGCCCACAUUUUACCGCUUAUCUUCCUGCUGUUUCUUCUCAAACAAGCCUUCGUUUGACAUCCACACGCCAACACUUCUCAAACCUUGCAGCAAAAGUCCUUCUUUUAUAAAAAAAAAAAAACCUUCUUCUUGCUUCUGGUAAAAGUAUCUCUCUUUUCUCUAAAAUGUCCACAGUUUUAGUCACACCUCUUCUUCAGCAGCUGCUUCAAUCUCCUCUGAUGGGAGGAGAGUGAGUUCACGCCAGCGUUCCUCACAUCUUACGCACUGAAGCAGACAAACAAGAAAAACCGGAGAGGUGCAGCCAAGGGCCGGGGAAGGUCUGGUUUGGUGACGUGAAGAUUUCAACCCUGCUGUUCGUAGAUGACGUGGUUCUGGUCCCAAAUGAAGAUGAAGAACAAGUACAUCAAUAAAAUAAAGAGAAAUAUUCUCAAUCAAUCAUUUGGCUAAAUUAUAAUCUAUUGCAAAUAUAAGAGAAUCAAAAAUCCACAAAGUGGCAGUGAGCAUUUUUUGUGAAAUGGUGUAUAGCAUAAUUUACGGCAUUCAACAUCUCACUGAAAGAAAACAUAUAUAGAUACCUGAACUAAUUUAUGUUGGGAGACUAAAUUUAGAUUAGAAUGUAUAGGUUGUAA